AUUCCGUGAUGUGGACAUUUCAUUAACAUCUCCUUAUACCUUUCCCAUGUAUCGUACAAUGAUUCAGACUCCAAUUGGUGGAAAGAGGAGAUAUCACUUUUGAGUUU